GCCAGGGGUGGUGGUGCAUGCCUGUAAUCUCAGCAGCUUGGGAGGCUGAGACAGGAGUAUCUCGAGUUCAAAGCCAGCCUCAGCAACAGCAAGGUGCUAAGCAACUCAGUGAGACCUUGUCUCUA
rnacentral:sRNA from 1 species